UAACACGUGAGCAACCUGCCUCUCANAGGGGGAUAACGUUUGGAAACGAACGGCUAAUACCGCAUGAAAUAUUGGCCAUCGCAUGGUGGCUGAUAUCAAAGGAGCAAUCCGCUGAGAGAUGGGCUCGCGUCCGAUUAGAUAGUUGGCGGGGUAACGGCCCACCAAGUCGACGAUCGGUAGCCGGACUGGAGAGGUUGAACGGCCACCAUUGGGACUGAGACACGGCCCAGACUCCUACGGAAGGCAGCAG
rnacentral:rRNA from 1 species